AUGAACAAGAGAGCGUUUCAAAAGAAAAUUGUACCGUUGCUCUUUACGAAGAAGGAAAAUGUCAAUAUGAGAUAUCAAACCGACUGAAUGUGCCACAGUUGGCGAUUUCAAAAGUGAUUGAAUGAUUUUACGAAACGGAUACCAAUGAAUGAAGACCUAGUUAGGAACUAAGAAGAAUAACUUCACCACUAGACCAAUAUUUAAGAAUGCAAGCCCUUAGACAAAGGUUUGUAAUCAGUACUUUACUUCAGCAACAGUUUUUAUUGAUUUACAAUGUAAGAAUAAAUCAGGACACCAUAAGGAGAAGACUAAAGGAAGACAAUGAAUCGACUGAAUUUCGCUACCUUUAAUAGGGAGAAGUUUUCUUUAAAUAGUAAUGAUCGUCCUAGAAGAGUUUAUAGACGAUCAGGGGAACAAUACACUUAAUGCACAUACGGAACUGGUUGUCAUUGGUGGAGGAAGUUUAACAACUGAUAGGUAUAUAAGGGAAAUACUAGAACCUCAUGUUGUACCCUUUGCUCCAUUUAUUACU